UACGUAGGGUGCAAGCGUUGUCCGGAAUUAUUGGGCGUAAAGAGCUCGUAGGCGGUCUGUCGCGUCUGCUGUGAAAACUCGGGGCUUAACCCCGGGCCUGCAGUGGGUACGGGCAGACUAGAGUGCGGUAGGGGAGACUGGAAUUCCUGGUGUAGCGGUGAAAUGCGCAGAUAUCAGGAGGAACACCGGUGGCGAAAGCGGCUCACUGGACCAUAACUGACGCUGAUGCACGAAAGCUAGGGGAGCAAACAGG
rnacentral:rRNA from 1 species